UACAGAGGUCCCAAGCGUUGUUCGGAUUCACUGGGCGUAAAGGGUGCGUAGGUGGCUUGGUAAGUUUGAUGUGAAAUCUCCGGGCUUAACCCGGAAAUGGCAUUGAAUACUAUUGAGCUGGAGGUUUGGAGGGGGGACUGGAAUUCUCGGUGUAGCAGUGAAAUGCGUAGAUAUCGAGAGGAACACCAGUGGCGAAGGCGAGUCCCUGGACAACACCUGACACUGAGGCACGAAGGCCAGGGGAGCAAACGGG
rnacentral:rRNA from 1 species